AGAGAUGUGAAAGCUGGAAACAUUCUUCUUGGAGAAGAUGGCUCAGUACAGAUUGCAGACUUUGGGGUUAGUGCUUUUUUAGCAACUGGUGGUGAUAUUACCCGAAAUAAAGUGAGAAAGACCUUUGUUGGCACCCCUUGUUGGAUGGCACCUGAAGUUAUGGAACAGGUCCGUGGUUAUGAUUUCAAAGCUGAUAUUUGGAGUUUUGGAAUUACAGCAAUUGAAUUGGCCACAGGGGCAGCUCCUUAUCAUAAAUAUCCACCAAUGAAGGUUUUAAUGCUGACACUGCAGAACGAUCCUCCUUCUUUGGAAACUGGUGUUCAAGAUAAAGAAAUGCUGAAAAAAUAUGGAAAAUCAUUUAGAAAAAUGAUUUCAUUGUGCCUUCAAAAAGAUCCAGAAAAAAGGUAAAAUGUGAGAAAAAGUCUACUUUUCUCUCUAAUAAAACAUUGUGAGAAGUCUAAGAAUCACAUACUCGUAUGUACAGGAAAUUAUUUUCAAAAGAACUAAAUAUAAACUUUAAAAAAGUAUACAGAGACCAUUAUACUAGAUUGGAAAUGAAUUGAUUUCUGCCUUCUUUGUAGUAUACAGUGUACCCUAAAUAGUUCAGCUUUUUCCUUGUUAAUUUCUUAUAAAGUUGUACGUUGUGAAUUCUGUAUUAAUAAAUGCCAAGUUAGUGGAGAAGUUUGUUUUUAAUUUGCAUUUAAAAUUUAUAAAUGAAUGUCUUAAUGCCGUUUACAGUAUUAAGAAAGGAAAGACACAUAGGAAAUUU
rnacentral:sRNA from 1 species